UUAAGUUUAUUGAGCGUAUAUCUCAAGAUGUAUUGGAAGUACUUCCAGAUUAAAAGGUUUGUUAUGGGGGCGCCUGGGUGGCUCAGUGGGUUAAGCCUCUGCCUUCGGCUCAGGUCGUGAUCCCAGGGUCUUGGGAUCGAGCCCCGAGCCCCGCAUCAGGCUCUCUGCUCAGCAGGGAGCCUGCUUCCCCUCCCUCUCUGCCUGCCUCUCUGCCUACUUGUGACCUCUCUCUCUUUGUCUCCGUCAAAUAAAUAAAUAAAAUAUAUAUUUUUAAAUGUUUUUUAAAAAAAGGUUUGUUAUGGGAGUGGAGAGGCGUCGCCAUUUUACAUUCCAGUGCAUUCACAGAUGGUGGUUUCCAUCAUCUCUGGAACAACUUGAAAGCGUUCACUGAGGAUUGGUUGUGUCUUAGGAAAGUUAUUUUUUGAUGUGUGAGGGGGAAACCUGAAAAUAUGAAUGAAAGUUUUACUUAGUAGAGCAUAUUUCAGUCUAUAAAUAUGAACAGCAACGACAUCUUGAAAUAAAGCAGAAGAAACAAGUCCUGAUACUCUUCUUUCAGGCGUUCAGCUAAAAGGUAGUUAGCUGGUUUUCGUUUCUCCUGAAAAGUAGGAGGUAUCCGUCACACUGGGAGGGCUGGCAGAUGCAGAUGUGGACGCCCAGGACAGGGCUGUGGGCCCAUCGCCGCUGCUGCCUGUCUGAACCCUUCUCAGACAUUCCUGCACAAGUAGUAAUAAUGAAUUAAUACAUUAAUGUUGAAAUUGACACUUUUUCUGGGUGUCUGGUUCUUGGGAUAAAUGAAAUUGGUUAUAGGUUUUUGACUAUGAGAAAGUUUCUCGGGGGGCACCUGGGUGGCUCAGUGGGUUAAGCCUCUGCCUUCGGCUCAGGUCAUGAUUCCAGGGUCCUGGGAUCAAGCCCUACAUCGGGCUCUCUGCUCAGCAGGGAGCCUGCUUCCUCCUCUCUCUCUCUCUCUCUCUCUCUCUCUGCCUGCCUCUCUCCCUACUUGUGAUCUCUCUCUUUCUGUGUCAAAUAAAUAAACAAAAUCUUUAAAAAAAAAAAAAAAGAAAGAAAAAGUUUUUCAGGGUUUUUAAAUAUUGUAAUAUUAACACUUGCUCUGUGAGAAGUUGUGUUUUAUAGGUUUCAGUACUGUGUUAGGCUUGGAAAAUUAAAUAGCUGCUGUGCUGUUGUUACUGCACACCCCUCAUCAAACGGUUUCUUCUGUUGAAAGAAAAAUCCAGUUCUGCCCAGUAGUUUACAACAUACACAUUCGAAGCCAAGGGGAUGAAACCAUCACUAACUUUCUGAAAUUGAAAUGCCUUUCGAUAGCCUUCAAGAAAGAACUGGCUAUGUGCACAUUGUUAAUACAUGACCUCAUGUGUCUCAGGCCCUGCCUGCUGCCACCUGCCUGGGAAAGAGAAGUGACAGGAAGCGAUAGCAAGUAGUGCUGGUGACUCAGUGAAUGACACCUUUCACACCAGGUCAGAGCUGCAAACAGCUCAGAAAGACAGAAACACCACCUUGGUUAAAAGUGCUCCCCGAGAGACAGCCAGAGGACAGGGAGGAGUAUGGCUCCGGCAGCAGCCCACAGCCCUCUCCGGGGUGUCCACAAACUUAUUGCCAGCCCUCCCAAUCUGACAGACGCUGCAGUUCCUCACCUGGAGUCCCGCCCUCUUCCCCAGGUGGUCUUGGCUCACAGUUCACAGGAAAGAGGAAGAUGAGGCUUUCCCCAGUUUCCUUCCACUUUUCCUUGUUUCUUUUUUCUCAGCCUCAGCGGGUAUGUUCCUCCUGUGUGACCACGUCCUCACACACCUGAGCUUUGAAGGGCCCUCCUCAACAGUUCUUCUUCCCCUGCCCUGCCUUCUUGUCACAGCCUGCGCACUUGUUCCUCUUUUCCCUGCUCUACUAAGACAGUUCCAUUCCCCAUGCCUGCCGCGCCAGUGGUGGCGGUCUUGGAAGAGCAGUCACUCCUUCCUCAACUACUGCUCGCUCUUCUGCCCACUGUUGCCGCCAUUCCACCCCCCCAUUCUGCGAAAACCACGCUCCCUGUGUACCAGUUUCCAUCUCACUGCCAAAGCCAAGGGCUUUAUCUUCUUUCUUUAUCCUUUGAGUGCCUUCUAUAUGCAGAUCCUAGACUGGGUGCUGGUGAUUUAGACCACGGGUCAGCAGACUCUGGACCUUUGGGCCACCUCCUAUUUUAAUAAAUAAAACUUCAUAAAAUCAUAGUCACACUCGUUUAUUCACAUAUUGUCUCCACUUCUCUCCACCUACAAUGGCAGAGUUGAAUAGUUGUAAUGAAGGCCCUAUGGCCCAGAAAGCUGAAAAUACAUUCUGUUUCACCCUUUUCAGAAAAAGUUGGCCAACCCCUAACUUAGAUAAACUUGGUUCCUGCCCUCAUGGACCUUACCUACAAUGAGGAAAGAAAAACAUUCUAAAACUAAUGUACCAGAAAUUACUUACUUGACCCUUUUCUGUGCUGCAAAGGAGAAGCAUGAGUGCUCUAAGAACAUGUAACAGGCUCCUGGCCAAGGCCUAAAGGAAUGGCUGAUGCCUAAGGGAGACAGUGGAAGUGUAAAGCACUUGGAAGCCAUGACAUUUAAAUAUUGAAAGAUGAGUGGAUUAUAUAGUCUAUAAUUUUAGCUGUGUUGGAAGGUGCAUGGUAGUACCUCAUUCUGAUUUUAAUUUCCAUGUCCCAAAGAUGGAGGGAGGGCAGAUGUGCAGAGGGAGACUGGAGGGGCAGAAUGGCUAAAUUUCCAUUGUCCAAAGAAAACUCCAAUUUAAGUCCAAGCCAGAUGACUCUAAGGGCCCAUGCUUCCCUCCACUCUGCCCAGUGUGACAUAUUUGGCCAUUAGGGAAGACCAUGAAUAUGGGAGGAGAACUUAGGACAGGAGAAGGAAUGGACACCGAGUUCUGCAGGGGACAAGGUCCAAAUCGUAGGUUGGAAAUAAGGGCCUGGCCCUAAGGAGAAAGGCUGGAGAAGUUGACUUGAGACUACAUUGCGCAGGUGAAGCUGAGUUGCGGGAGGGGAUGAGAGCACUGGGAAACAUGGGGAGCAGAGCACAGCUAAGGAGGAUGUGCAAGAUGAGCUUUGUGGGAGGUCGGGUGGGGGGGGGGCGGAUGGCAGCGGGAGAGGACAGUAAGGGAGAAUUCUCACGGAGGAAGAGAACUAGAGAAGACAAGAGUUUUGUUCCAACUCAGCCUGUGGUGAAUGAUGUUGGAGCCUCCCCUGACCUCCGGGACCUGGCCCCUGUUGAUUCACCAGCCUCCUGGUCACCCCUCCAACAUAAUCCUUUUCUCCUGCCUCAUAGUUCUGCUGUCUGCUGUGCUACUCACUCCCUCACCACCACCAACUAGUUAACUUCUACUCUUGAAAAACUUUCGAUUACAGUAUUUUUCAAAGAGCAAAGAUGUUUAAUUUUGAUAAAGUUCAAUUUAUCAAUUUUUUUGUAGUUCAUAUUUUUCGUGUCCUCUACGUCCAAAAUCACAGAUUUCUCCUGUGCUUUCUUUUAGAAUUUUAAUAGCUUUAUGUUUUAAAUUUUACUUUAUGACCUAUUUCUACUAGCUUUAGUUUACCAUGAGAGGGAAUUCCGGGAUCAUUUUUUCGAUGUGUCAAUGUAGUCAUUAUAGCAACAUUUGUUAAGUUAAUUGUGCAUUUAUUAAAUUACCUUGAUGCCUUUGUCAAAAAUAAACUGAUAAGUAUUGUGGGUUUAUUUCCGUUCCAUUGAUCUGUUUGUGUCUCCUUGUGCUGGUAUGAUAAACAGUCCUGAUUCUUGUAGAUUUAUAGAAAGUCUUGAAAUCAGGCAAUAUGUAGCCUCCCAUUGUAUGUAUAUUUUUCAAAUCUGUUUGGCUUUCUCAGUCGUUUGUAUUUAUUUAAAUUUUAGAAUCACAAUGACCAAUUUCUGAAAAAAAGCUGAAAUUUUGAUCGGGAAUGUAGCAAAUCUAUUGAUUAAUUUGGGGAGAAUUGGCAAUAUUGCAUCUUAUCCAUAAACAUGGUAUAUUUCUGUUCUAAUUUAGUUCUGAUUUCUGUCAACUAAGUUUUUCCAUUGUCCCUGUGCAGGCUUUUCACAUAUUUUGUUAAAUUUAUCCCAAAGUAUUUCAUGUUACUUUAUGAUUCAUAGAUGGAAUUUUUUCAUUUUAACUUUUAAUUAUUGCUAAUAUAUAAAAUAAAUUUGAUUUUUACAUAUUGGCCUUGUGACUUUCUAAAUUCAGUUAGUUCAGGUACCUUUCUCAUAGAUUGCUUGGGAUUUCCUUAGGUGUACGAUCAUGUCCUAUGUAAUAAAGAGUUUUACAUCUUCCUUUCCAAUGUAUAUGCUCCUAGGAUAAAUUUCACUUGGUUAUUAUGCAUUAUUUCAUACAUUAUUGGGUUUGAUUUAUUAAAAUUUUGCUAAGGAUAUUUGCCUCCAUGAAGUGGGUAAUUAUAGUUUUUUGUAACAUCUUUCUCUAGUUUUGGUAUCAGGGCUUCAUAAAAUAAGUCGGGAGGUGUUUUCUCAUCUUCUUUUUGAAAGAGUUUAUGUGGAAUUGGUAUUACUUCUUAAAGGUUUGGUAUGAUUCACAAAUGAAGCCAUCUGAGCAGGGAGUUUUCUUUGUCAGAAAAAUUUUAACUACAGAUUCAAUUGCUUUAAUAGAUACAGACGUAUUCCCAAGUAAGCUUUUGGCAGGUAGUAUCUUUCGAUGAAUUUGUCUGUCAUAUCUAUUUUUUUAAUUUAUUAGCAGAAAAUUCAUUAAAUUUUUAAUUAUCCUUUUAAUAUCUUUAGGAUAUAUCCAGCUAUAUUACGUUUAUUAGUUUUAAUGAUCAUCUCAAAGGACCAGUUUAUUUCAUUAAUAUUUUUCUAUUUUCUAUUUCUUUGUUUUUUACUUUUAUCUUUGUUUUCUUCUGCCUUCAUUUAGGUGUUUUGGCAUAAUUUGUUCUUUCUUUUAAACUUAUUAACCCAGAGGUUUAGAAUAGUGAUUUUUAGGGCCUUUUUUUUCCUUAUGUGAGCAUUUAGAACUAUAAAUUUCCCUGUUAAGUACUGGUUUAAGUAAAUCCCACAAGAUUUUUUUUUUUUUUAAGAUUUUAUUUAUUUAUUUGACAGAGAAAUCACAGGUAGAUGGAGAGGCAGGCAGAGAGAGAGAGAGAGGGAAGGAGUCUCCCUACCGAGCAGAGAGCCCAAUGCGGGACUCGAUCCCAGGACCCUGAGAUCAUGACCCGAGCCGAAGGCAGCGGCUUAACCCACUGAGCCACCCAGGCGCCCCCCACAAGAUUUUAAUACACCAUAUUUUCAUUUUCAUUAAGUUCAGAGUAUUUAUUUCCCUUGUGACUUGUUUGACCUGUUGGUUGUUGGAAAGUAUUCUCUAACCUCCAGUUAUUCAGGGAUUUUCCAGAAAUUUUUUGAUUAUUGAUUUCUACUUUAAAUCUGUUCUGGUCAGAAAAUAUACUCACUGUUAUUUCAGAUCUUUUACAUUUGGCAUUUGUUUCAUGGCCUCGAAUAUGGUCUUCAUGAAUGUCCCACAUAUAUGAGAAAAGAACGUGUUCUAUAAAUGUUAAAUUACUCAGUUUGGUUAAUAGCACCGUUUGUGUCUUCUGUACCUUUACUGAUUUUUUCCCUCUCAUUUGCAGUGACAGGAAUGUUUGAAAUCACCCUAAUUGAGAAUUUGUCUAUUUCUCUUUUGUAGUUUAAUCAAUUUUUGUUCAUGUAUUUUGAAGCUCUUAUUAUUGAGUGUUUCUACAUGUAGCAUUGUUAUUUUUCUUGAUAACCUGACCCCCUCACCAUCAUGAAAUGCUUUUUCCCUGGUAACAGCCCUGAUUCUGAAAUUCUACUUUGUCUCAUAUUAAUACAGGCUCUUCAGCUCUCUGUUGAUUAGUGUUUGCUUAUCUUUUCCCAUCCAUUUCCAUUUAACCUAUUUGUAUCUAUGUAUUUGAAGGAGGUUUCUUGUAGACAGCAUUAUGGGUCCUGCUUUUACAUUUAAUCUGACAGUCCCUGCUUUUAAAUUGGAGUGUGGAGACCUUUACUGUCCAGCACAGUUGCCAAAGCCACAUGUGACUAUUCGAAUUUAAGUUAAAAUUAAAAAUUCAGUUCCUCAGUCACACUAGCUAUCUUUCAGUCCUCCUUGCAGAAAGCUAUGUUACAUAAUACUAAUUUAAACCAUUUUUAUUUAUUACAAGUAUCAACAUGGUUUGGUUUAAAUCUACCAUCUUGCUAUAUUUUCGUAUUUGGCCCAUGUUAAUGAUUCCAUUUCAUCUUCACUGUUAGCUUGUUAGCUCCAUUUCUUUGUUUUAUUAUUGUAGUGGUUGCACUAGGAUUUACAGUAUACUUCUUUUUCAGUCUACUUUCAAAUAAUACACAAUUUCACAUAUGGUAUAAGAACCUUAUGAGAGCAUAGUUUCAUUUUCCCUCUCGUCCUUUGUGCUAUUAAUGUCAUGUUUUACUCCUGCAUCUUAUAAGAUUCAUAAUACACUUUUUUUUUUGGCCUUAGCCAUUGAUCCUUUAAAGAGACUAUUGGUCUUUUUUUCUGGGUCCUUGUGCCAGUAUCACAGUUUCUUUACUUCUGUAUCUUUGUAUUAAGUCUUAAUGCCCACUGAUGUGUCUUCUGUGCUAUUAAGAAUGUCUUGGCUUACAUUUCCAUAUAAACUUUAAAAAUCAUCUUGUCCAUUUUCACAUAUACCAACACACCAGUUUCUACUGAUUUUGAUUGGCAUUCCACUGAAUUUAUAGAUUGGUUUGGAAAGAAAUGUCAUCUUUAUGAUAUUGAAUUUUCUAAUAUAUGACCUUUGAUUAUGCUUCCAUUUAUUAAACAAGCUUCUUUAUUUUCUCUCAGUAUUUUUUUUCCACUUCUCUGUAUAGUGGAUUUACACAUUUUUCCUUCGAUUUAUACUAAGGGGUUUGAUGUUUCAAAGCAAUUUUAUGCUAUUAAAAUACUGCGUGGUAUUGUUUUGAAAUGUAUUUAUUUCUCAUCCUAAACUCUUUCUUUUCUUAUUGAAUCGAGUAGGAGCUCCUGUACAGUAUUGAAUAGAAACGUGGCGCUGGGUGUUCUUAUCUUACUCUAAUCUUAGUGGGAAAGCUUUCACUGUCAUACCAUUAAAUUAAAUGUUUACUGUAGGUUUUUGGAACAUAUCCCUUAUCACAUUACAGGGUGUCCUUCUUUUCAUCAUUUGCUGGGAUUUUUUUUUUUUUCUUACAUGAAUAAGGGUAGGAUUUAUCAAAAGAUUUUUCUACAUCUACUCAGUCAUGCAAUUACUCUCUUUUAUGCUAUUAAUAUGGUAUAUUACACUGUUGAAUUUUCAUGGAAUAAACCCACUUCGAUUGUGACGUAUUCUUUUAGUAAUCACUGUUUUUAGUUUGCUGGUUUCUAGGAUUUUUGUGUCUGUUUAUAAGUAAGAUUGUCAUAUAAUAAUCCCUUUUGUAAUGUAUAUGCAAGUUUGGUGUCAGGUUUUGCUUCCCUUGUAAAUGAGUUGGGAAACUCUUUGGUGCAAGAGUUUGUAUAAAAUUACUCUUAUUUCUUAAGUGAUUAGUAAAACUCAUCAGUGAUGCUGUCUGAGCUUUGCAUUGUCCUUGUGGGAUGGAGCUUAGGAGUCCAUUUCUUUUCAUAGUUGUAAGAUUAUUCAUUUACAGAUUUUCUAUUCUUAUAUUGGUUUUGAUAGAUUGUGGGCUUUUGUGGGGUUGUUGUUGUUUUUUUAAGGUUUUUGACUCUUUCAUAUACAUUUUCCAAUUGGUGUAAAGAAAAGAUUCUAAAUUGAUACCCCUUUUGCAUUUCUGACAUUAGUUUUGCCUCUAAUCAGCUCUACAGUAUGUCUACUUUCCAAUUCAUAAAUUUCUGCUCUUAUCUUGAUUGUUUCUGUCCUGUUCAAUAUGCUGUUCUUUCUUAAGGUAGAUGAUCAUAUCAUUGAUUUCCAGUCUCUACUAUUUUCACUUGUAUUCCUUAUAUUUUUAAAACCUUAACCAUCGCUCUUGCUGAUUCCAACAAAUUUUUAUAUGUCAUAAUUUCAUUAUCAUUCAUUUCAGAAUAUUUUCCACUUCCUAUUAAGAUAACAUCCUUGGGGUGCCUGGGUGGCUCAGUGGGUUAAGCCGCUGCCUUUGGCUCAGGUCAUGAUCCCAUGGUCCUGGGAUCGAGCCCCGCAUCGGGCUCUCUGCUCAGCGGGGAGCCUGCUUCCUCCUCUCUCUCUCUGCCUGCCUCUCUGCCUGCUUGUGAUCUCUGACUGUCAAAUAAAUAAAUAAAAUCUUUUAAAAAAAAAAAAAAGCUAACAUCCUUGACUCAGCUGUCAUUCAGAUGUGUGUUUCUCACUUUUCAAGUACAAGGAGGAUCCCAGUUAACUCUGUGUUACUGAUUGCUGACACAAUUAUAUUGAGGUGACAGAGCAUAUUUUGCAUGAUUUAAAUCCUUUAAAACGUGGUACAGUUUACUGUGUGGCACAGCAUAUGUCAAUUUUGGUAAAUAUUCAGUAUGUGUUUGAAAAGUUUUUGUAUACUCUGCAUCUGUUCUACGAAUGGAGUUCGGUCAAGUUCAUUGAUCACGUUGUUCAUUCUUUGUGUUCCUUGUUAGUUGCUUUCAUCUGCCUGAACCCAUCAGUUACUGAGAGCAGCGGGCUAGAAUCCCCUCCGUGGCUAUGUAUUUGUUUACCCUUUGCCUUCGGCUUCAUUUUAUCAAUGCCGCAGCUCCAUGAAGUGCCUACAAAUUUAGAAUUUUAGAUCUUACAAUGAUGCAAACUUUCUAGCAUCCUGAAAUGUACUCUUUUAAGUUCUAGGGUACAUUUUGCCUUGAAAUCUGAUUUGUCUGUUAUCAGUGUAACACCUUAUUUCCUUCGGUUGGUAUUUGCAUGGUGUAUUUUCUCAUCCUUUUGUUUUUCAACCCUUCUGUAUCUUUAUAUUCUUUUAUAUUCAAAGUGGGGCUCUUAUAAGCAGCUUAUGAUUUGAUUCUGUUGAAAUAUGCUACAUAUAACCCAACACCCUAAUUAAAAUCCAGAAAUUUCCAUCACCUCAGAAAGUUCUUCCGAUGAGUCCCACUCCCCAUCAGCAACCACCGUGGUGAUCGCAUUCCCUGUAGCUUACUUGGCCUGUUCUUGAAUUACACAUGAAUGACAUAAAUGCUCUCUAGUUUCUUCUAGUUUCUUCUAGUGAAAGUUUUGGAGUUUCAGCCAUGUUGUUGCAUGUACUAUAGUCCUCCCUCCCCCGCCCCGCCCAGUUUUUUAAUUGGUGAAUAAUGUUCUCUUGUGUGAGUAGAUCGCACUUUAUCUCUUCUGGUUAUGGACAUCCAGGUUAUUUUCAGGUUUUGUCUGUUGUGAAUAUAGAUACUGUGAACUUUCUUUUAUAAGUCUUUGUAUGGACAUAGGUCUUCAUUUCUUUCUGGGUAAAUAACUAGGUUUAGAAUUUCUAAUUUGUAGGAUGAGUGGACAUAUAAUUACAUAAGUUUCCAGACAGCUGUCCAGAGUGGUUGUAUUAUCUUACCCUCCUGCUGUGAUGUGUAGAAUUCCAGUUGCUCCACAUUCUCACCAGUAUUUGUCUGUCAUUUAACUUUACUUUUCCUACUGUGUACAAACUGGUAUCUCAUUGUGCUUUUAGUCUGUAUUUCCCAGAUGACUGAGAAUGUUAAGAACCUUUGAGUAUUCUUUUUUACACUCAUUUCUUUCAUGAAGUCCCUCUUCAAGUCUUUUGUCCAUUUUCAUCUGGACUUUGUCUUAUUUUUUAAACGAUUUGUGGGGAUUCUUUAUGGUACCGCCCCUCCAUACAACAAAUACAGCUCUUUUGUCAGAUAUAUUUACCCCGUAUAUUUUCUUCCAUUCUGUGGUUUGCCUUUUCACUUCCUUAAUGAUGUCUUCUGACGAAAAGAAGUUUUAAUUUUAUUGAAGUACAUGCUGUCAAUUUUGUCUUUUCUGAUUCAUGCUUUUUUGGUCCUCUCUGAGAAAGCUCUCCCUGUCGCAAAGUCUCGCGACAUUCUUCUAUGUUUUCUUCACAGUUUUAGCUUUACAUUUAGUUCUUCAAUCUGUCUCAAAUUAAUUUGUCUGUAUUGUGAGACAGAGGUAAGGUGCAGUAUGUUCCCGUGUGAUUAUGCAGUUGUCCCAACAUCAUUUGUUGAAAAUACUUUGUUUUCUGCAUUGAAAAAGCCUUGGCACCUUAGUCAAAAAUUAUAACAUUGAAAAAGAUUGUAAUUUUGAGUCUUCUGGGCUGUGCACUAGAAUGGUUUCUGCUUCCAUUAACAGCUCUCUUCAUUGUUUCAUGGGUUUAGGUGGGGGAGUCUUAAAAAGUAUUUUUGUCAAAAUUGUUUAAUAUUAAUCCUUUUUCAACUAGUGUUAAUGGAAUUGUAUUUUUUCAUUUUGUUUACAACUGUGUGGUACCUGUCUAUGGAAGUACUGCUGAUUCUUGUGUAUCGACCUUAUACACUGUAAUCCUAUUUAAAUUCAUUUAUUCUAGGAGUUGUCUUGUAGAUUCCUUGGGAUUUUCUACAUACAUCAUUAUGUUGUCUGAAAGUAAAGACAGUGUGCAUCCUUUCCUUUUAGUUUUUCUCCAUACCUUGCUGCACAGGCAAGGAUUUCCAGUACCAUAUUGAAUAAAGUAGUGACCAACACCCUUACCUUUUCACAAUCUUAUUGGAAAGUCAUUCAACAUCAUACUGUUAAGUUUGGUAUUAGUUGUAGGUUGUCAUUUAUUAAGAUGAGGAAGUUUCCUUCUAUUUAUAGUUUGCUGAAUGUUUUUAUUAAGAAUGGGUCUUGAAGGAUGCCUGGGUGGCUCAGUCGUUAAGUAUCUGCCUUCGGCUCAAGUCAUAACCCAGAGUCCUGGGAUCGAUCAAGCCGUGCAUGGGUCUCCUUGCUCAGCGGGGAGCCUGCUUUUCGCUCUCCCACUCACCCUGCUGUAUUCCCUCUCUUGCUGUGUGUGUCUCUCUCUCAAAUAAGUAAAAUCUUAAAAAAAAAAAAAAAGUAUUGAGUUUUACCUUAAUAUUUUUCUACUUUUUUUUUUUUUAAGAUUUUAUUUAUUUUAGAGAAAGAGCAUGGGUGGGGGGUGGUUUCAGGGCCAGAGGGAGCGAAAAGCUCAAGCAGACUCCAAGGUGAGCACAGAGCCCAACACAGUGCUUGAUCUCAUGACCCUGAGAUUAUAAUCUGAGCCAAAACCACGAGUCAGACACUCAACCAACUAUAGCACCCAGGUGCCCCAUUCUGCAUAUUUAGAUGAUAACCUGGUUUUCUCCUUUUUUUUCUAUUAAUAUGAUGGAUAAUUGUAUUAGUUAUAUAUUAUUAAGUAAGAAAUCAUCCCAGUGCUUAGCCUCUGGUAGCAACAAACAUUAUCUAGUCUUUCUGUGACCAGGAACCUGAGUGGCUUAGCUGGUGAUGGUUCUCCCUCUGGCUCUCAUGGUGUUGGGAGUCAGGAUGUCAGUUGGGGCCGCUGUCAAGUGAAGGCUUGGCUGGGGCUAAAGGAUCUGCUUCCAGGAUGGUUCGUUCACAAGGCUGCUGGCUGGAGGCCUCAGUUCCUCCAUCCUUUACCACAUGAGCGUCUCGGUCCUCACAAAGCAGCCAACUUGCAGGGCAGGCGGUCCGAGAGCGAGAGCAGGGGGAUGUCUGCAGUGUCUUCUGUGGUCUAUUUGGGAGCAGCCACCAUGGCUUUUGUUGAGUAACUUAGACACCCAUCCCAGACAGGCACCGUACAGAGUACAGCAGCACUCCUGAAGGGGAGGCACAUCAUAAGAAGGAAGUUUGCAGAUCUUGAGCCCCUACAGACGCGCUAAGUGAACUUCACAAGCGCAGCCGUACUUGGUGGAUCCGUUCAUGAGUCAACAUAGAGAAACCGAAACUGAGAAUACCAUUCUGCAACACAGCAGGCUGGCGGUCUUCAAAAGUCGAAAAAGUCGAGGAAAGACUAAGAAACUGAUCCAGAUUAACAGAGACUGAAGAGUCAUGACAACUAAAUACAGCAUGUGAUUUUGAACUGAAUGUUUUACCAAAAAGGCUAUCACUGGAACAACUGGCGAAACUUAGAUGGGUUCUGAGAAAUAAAUGGUAGUAACGUGUCGGUGUUAAUUUCAUGAUUUUUAUGGUCUUGUUCUGCUCAUGUAGGAGCAUAUUCUGGCUGUUAGAAAUGUCCACUAACCUUCAGAGGUAAUGAGGCAGCUUAUUGUCCCAUGGUUCAGGAUAAAUUAAUUCUGUGCUUAGAAGUUUUCUCUAAAUUGGAGGCUGUUUAAAAAAAAUUUUUUUUAAUGGUGGUUAUUAUACUGCAUUACAAGAAAGCAUUAUAAAACAACUGGCUUUUUUCCCUGAUGUUAUUACAGGACAACUAGCUAUUUGAUGUAAAACAUGGUAACAUUGUGUUGUUGCUGCCAUCUUCACCUUCCGCGGGCUCUGAGAGCCCAGGCCACCUUACUCUCCCUAGACAUGGGAGCCUCACUUUGGCCAGCCUUCGAUACCUCCCUCUGGGCCAUUCUGCCUCUCCACCUGAGUGGCCCACUGAGUAGCAACUUUGAGAUUAAGGAGUUAUUCACCACAGGAAAACAAGGAGGAAGAGCAAAAAUAAUUUCUUUUUAUUUUACACACAUAGUACUGUUCCCAUGGCUCUUCAUUGCCUCCUGUAGAAGUGAGUUUUCACUGGACGUCAUUCGUUUCUCUUUGGCCUAAAGAACUUUUGUAGUAUUUCAUGUGUUCCGAGCUACUGGUGACAGAUUCCCGCAGUUUUUGUUUGUCAGAAAGUGUCAUGUCUGUACUGCAUUCUCACAUCUGAAGACUGUUUUUGCUAGAGAACAGAUUUCUGGGCUGAUCGUUGUUACCAUAUACCAUAAUAAUUCAAUAUUUGUGCAUAUCAUGAAAUGAUCACCGCAGUAGGUUUAGUUAACACCUAUUACCACACAUAGCUACAAAAGCUUUUUUUCUUGAGAUGCGAACUUUUGAGUUACUUGCUGAGCAACCUUCCAGUAUGCAGGAGAGUGUUAGUGACUGUGAUACCGUGCUGCUCGUUGCCUUGUCAAGACGGGUGAAGGUGGUCAGAAGGUACAGACUCCCAGCUGUAAGUCCUGGGGAUUUCAUGUACAAGUUUUUCUACCCAAAAUAUGAUGCGUCUUUUUAUUUGGCUGCUUUUAAGAUCUGCUCUCUUUUGAGGCACCUGGAUGGUGCAGUCAGUUGAGCGUCUGGCUCUCGGUUCCCGCUGGAGUCCUGAUCUUAGGGUCAUGCGGUCGAGCGCCAGUCAGGCUCUGUGCCCAGCAGGGAGUCUGCCUGAGAUUCUUGCCCCUCCUUCUCCCUCCACCUGCACGUGCUCCCUCUUCCUUCCUCCCUCCUUCUCUCGCUCUCUGUCUUUCUCUCUCUCUCUCUAAAAUAAAUCAAUAAAAUCCUUUAAAAAAAAUCUGUAAUUUUUUGUUUUCAGUUUACUCUAAUAGGAGGUGCAUAAUAUACUCUAGGUUCAAUGGAUUAGAGUUUCCUUGGAUCAAAAAUCUGAUUAUCUGGGACCUAUGUUUCAUCUCCCCCGUUCUUGCACUCCGCCAGUGGGAUUCCAGUGCACAGAUAGCAAGUUGUUAGGUACUGCCUAGCAGACGGCUGGAUCCGGGGGUUUCUGGGCAGAGGGCACUUCCAUCCUUCCCCCCUCUCAUCUGUCUGUAAGUUCAGUUGCUUCUUUCUUCUGUCUCUUAAGUAUCUAGUAUAUUUUUUUCCACUCAGAUACUGUCCUUACUUCUAGAAUUUCAUAUGAUUCCUUUUUUAUAUUUUACAUGCUUUGAUUUCCCAUCUGUUCACUCAAUAUGACUCUUUUCCUUUAAGUCGUGAUUAUAUUUGUAGUAGCUUCUUUAAACUAUGUGUCUGCUGAUGCCAACAUCUGGAUCCGCUCAGGGUCUGUUGCUCUUUACUCUUUUUCUCUUGACCUUGGGUCCCAUUUCUUUGCCUGUGUAGCAUUUCCUCCUGUGUACUGGACACUGCAGAAGACAGGUUGCAGAGAUUUUAGACUCUCCUCUUCGGCUGAGGAGUGCUGAGUUUUGUUUAGCAGAAAGUUAAAUUAGGAAGCUUGUUUUCACACUUGGUUAAGAUGGUUCUCUCAGAGUGUCACCAUUAGCCUUGUGGCACAUGCUUAUUCCCAGGACAUUGUCUUUACGUCUAAGGUCUUAUCUCUGGAUUUUCAUUCAGUGUGUUCCCUGGACCCCUUUUAAGUUGGUAGGAUUCAGACUUCCCACUCUUGCCUGAACUUGGCAGCAGCUGAAAUCUGCGCCCAGCUUUUUCUUCCAGCCUUCCAGUUGUUCCUGUCCUUGGUGUCUCUCCGUGUGUGUGAAGUUUAGGUGUCAGCUGUGGUUUCGAGGUGGGUGUGCAGAUGACUGAAGGCUACCACCCCUGUGGCUCCUUCCUGCCCCGGCUUCCCCAGGCUUUCCAGCCACACUGGCAGCCUUGCCUGUCGUCCCUCAGCCAUGAAUACCAGCUUUCCUCUGGACCAGGUUACCAGGGUGACUCUGGCACAGGCGACCGCCACCGCAGCUGGACUCACAGCUCCCCAACUAAACUUUUAAUCAGAGUAUUUAUUUUACUUUUCUGAUAGUUGCUGAUGUCUUUAUGUCUAAACCUACAGUUUUACACUUUGUUUUUUUAUUUACCCUGUGUUCUUUUAGAUUGAAUUUUGUUUGUAAUGCUGUGUUUCUCCCUGUUGUUAUCUUGGUAAUUAUAGAUUCUUUUGUUAUUCUUUAAGCUUUACUCUAGAAAUUACCUUAUGCAUCCUCGACUUACUUGAGUCUAAUAUAAAUUACUUUUACCGCAUUCCAACAAUGCAAGGUUCUCAAAUCUAAUUCUCUGCUUCCCGCCUUUUAUGCUCCUACAGUGUAUUUUAAUUCUAGAUCUCACAGGACAUUCAUUAUUGUUACACAGUGAACUUUCCCGUUGAUUUCCUGCAUAUGUUUACUCUCUGCAAUGCCUUACGUUCCUGCCUGCAAUUCUCCCCUUCUAUCGGGGAUCAUUUACUUGGUUCUGAAGAACAACACCAUUUUGUAUUUCCUUUAGUACACGCUUCUGGCACAGCGUUGUCUAUCUGAAAAUGUCUGAGUUUUAUCUUAUUAUUGAGCUUUUAUUUACAUGAGAUCAGAUGUGUAGCUCUGUGAAUGUUUACCUUGUGCUUUUUUAUGUGCAGCAAGACCCAGAACCCCUCGGUUCCUUCAGCUGCCUCACCGGCCCAGCCUGCGUUCUGACUUCCCCUCCCCAGAGUGCCCGCGUGUGUUCAGACUUCUCACGAACGAGUCUCCUUAUACGUACUCCUGCGUGCUGCCUUCUCUUGCUCAAAACAGUUAAUGAGAUUUAUCCCUGUUUUUGCUUUUAUCAGGAGUUUGUUCCUUCUUACUGUUGACUAGCAUUCUGCUCUGAGACUACACUGCAGUUUGCUUAUCCGGUCGGUCUCCCGUUGGUGGACUUUACAUGGAGUCCAGUUCUGAGCUCUGCCGAAUAAAGACGCUCUGAAUUGUCACGCGGUUCUUUCCGUGGGUGUAUUGCUGUGUUACUGUUGAGCACAUGCCUGAGGUAGAAUUUCUGGUUAAUAGGCAUAUUUGUUAUCUAUUUUGGUGUCACAGAUUACCCCUUAGGUUAUCAGUUUAAAAACACAAUGAACGGGUAUUACCGUCUCACGGUUUUCAGGCGUCAGGAAUUCAGGAGCAGCUUAGUGGGGUGACUGGCUCUUGCCAUCCAGAGCUCUCCACAGGACUGUUUGAGUGUCCCCGCAACACGAGAGCUGUCAUCCUCAGAAUGAGGAGUCCGCAAGAGCCCAAGAUAGAAGCCACUGUGUCUUUAUGACCUCACCUGUCAUUUCCAUCGUGUCCUCUUGGUUACCCAGAUCAGCCCUGUUCAUUGUGGGAGUGGACUGCACAAGGACAUCGGUGCCAGGAGUGAGGACCCUUGGGACUGUCUUUGAUGCUGGCUACCACGAUAGGUUUAGAGGCAUGUUUAGGGGUGCCUGAGUGGCUCAGUCGGUAAAGCAUGUGCCUUCAGCUCAGGUCAUGAUCCAGGAGUCCUGGGUCAAGGCCAGCAUUGAGCUCCCUGCUCAGCGGGGAGUCUGCCUCUCCCUCUCCCUCUCCAUCUGCUCCUCCCCCAGCUCACACCCUCCUGUGUGCACGCAUGCUCUCUCUCUCUCUCAUUCACUUGCUCUCUCUACCUCAAAUAAAAUCUUUUUGAGAACUAAAUAAAUGAAAGCAUGUUUAACUGUUAAAGAGAUCACUGUCCUAACCUAAGCGUUUGCACCUGCUCCCCCCUCCCGCCAGCACAAGAGGCUCCCGCACUGCACACCCUCCCUGAUGGUUGUUUUUUUUAAUUCUAGCAGGUCGUAAUCAUGUGUGAGGUUGGUUUUCACCAAAUACAGAAUUCUUGGUUUUCAGUUACUGUCUUUCAGACCUUGGAAAAUCUGCACCCAUGUUCUUAGAGCCCCUCUGCUUUCAUUGACAUGGGUCAGUUCUGUUCCUCUCUUGAUGCGAAUGAGUCAUUUUCCUCCUACGAGUGCCUUCAAAGUUUCCUUUCGUCUUUGGGUUUCAGCAGUCUUCCUUUGAUGUUCCAGGUGAAGUUGCCAUGCUUGGGUUCAUAGUAUUUCUGGAACCUGUGGUUUGAUGUCUUUCAAGUUGGAACAUUCUCCGCCAUUAUCUCUUCAAUAUUCCUUUUGUUCCAUUUUCCCCUGGUGCUCCCAGCCUGCUGUGACUGUGGUGCGCAAGGAAUUCAUCUCUGUGUCUCUCCUGCUCCUCUGUAUUUCCCAUCAUUUUUUGGCUCAUGCUUCAGUCUAGGUAUUUUUCCUAGCCCCUAAUCCAGUUCAUUAAUCAUUUUCUUCAUCUAAUUUUAGCCUGAUUUUAAACCUACUUAAAGAACCAUUACGUUCUUAAUUUCUGUUAUUAUUUUCCCAGAGUUCUAGUGUAUUCAUUAAGUUUUGUUUUAGUUUCCUUUUCUCUGCUGCAGUUGUUAAUCUGGGUUUUGGUUUCUGUUUUUAAUUUAAUUUAAUUAUUUUAAGUCAUCUCUACACCCAGUGUAGGGCUCAGACUCACCACCCCGAGAUCAAGAGUCUUGUGCUCUACCACUGUACCAGCCAGGUCCCACUGGGUUUUUGUUUUCUUAAAUGUAUUAGGCAGUAGUUAUUUUCAAGUCCCUUUUUUUUAAAUCCCCUUCCCAACCCCCAAGUCCAUUUUUAAUGACAAAAACACAGUGGAAAGGGUAAUGGAUUUUGCUUUUGUGAGUGAAAAUUUUCAUGACCAAAGUUAAAAAUAAAGAUGUCUGAUAGCCAAUCCAUUCUCCAGAUGACCUGUGUUUCCCUUCAUUGUCUGUCUUUUGUCUUCGUUAUUGAUCACCCUGACUUAUCCCCUUGUGUGCAUAGCAUUUUAUUGUAAUUUUAUCUGUUUAUUUGUGAGAAACAGAAAGAGAGGGAGGCAGAGGCAGAGGGAGAAGCAGGCUCCCUGCAGAGCAGGAACCCUAGUGCGAGGCUUGAUCCCAGGACCCUGAGAUCAUGACACAAGCCAAAGGCAGAGGCUUAACGGACUGAGACACCCAGGCACCCCUGCUUAACGUCUUUUAAAUUGCAUUCCAGCUAUUGUUUGAUUAAAGUUUUAGGAAUAAUUUGAGGCUCUAGAUCCAAGUCAGCAGACUUACGACCCAGGAGCCAAAUCCAGUCACGCCCCGUCCUUUCGUCCUUUCGAUACUGUUUCUGGCUGCUUUCCUGCUACAGCAGCAAAACUGACAACAGACCACGGCUUGCAGAACUGAAGACAUCUGCUGCGUGCCCCUUUUGCAGGAAGAGUUUACCAGCUCCUGCUCUGCAUGGUUUCCUCUGGAGACCCGAAUCCAAUCCCCACUACCGCUCUGCUUAUCACUCGUGGGACAAAUCCAAAUGGUCGUUUUUAGUUUUGGUCUGCCUCCACGCCCGCAGUCCCUGCUGUGGCCUUCUGUGGCCUUCACCCCCAGCCCGAGGCUCUGGGCCCGGAUGAUGGCUUACUCUCUCACAGCCUCUGCCCUUGUCCAUUGGCUUCUCUUUUCAUUUCUGGCUGCCUGAGCUUACUGCUUACUGCAGAGUACACCUGCUGACUUCCGGCUCGUCAUGUAAGACGUGCGUUGUGUUGCUCUCUCCUUACGGAAGCUUUCUCUGAACCACAUAACUUUGUCUGUUUUGCCAGCUUGCCACCUGGAACUGUGCUCUGACCUCCGUCCUGCUGAUUUGACGGGUGUUUGCCGGGGCCCUUCCCUAGCGUGAGUUCUGUACGGCUUUGUUUCUCAGGCCUCACAUGGAUUGGCCCUCUGGGUAUGUUUCUGAGGGGAUGGCAGGAAAGAUACCACACCGUUCGCCCCAGGGUGUUCCUUCGCUCUAGCGUGCAGCGACUCCUGUACUUGGUGGAACCUGGCUAUCUGAAUUGAGCCUUUCUUUGACUCUCUGUCUAAAGUCUUGAUCUACUCUGGUUCCUUCCAUUCAUCCUAGACACAUGACUUUCAACUGAAAAGCGUUCCGACAUCGCGUCUCUGUUCAUUUGUUGGCCUUUAGGUAACAGUACCUGUCACCUUCCCUCACCUCAGGAGGCAUCCCCGAGUCCUCCCUCAUCUGCCCACUUCUCUUUCAGUCCCUAUGCAAGUCUUGUGUGUUCCUGUUCUCAAAACCAGCUUACAUCCUUCCACUACUCUCCAAAUAGUCUGAUUUUGAGAAUAUCAAUUGGAUCAGGUUAUUUUUUUUUUUAAUCUUUAAUGGCUUCCUGUUGACCUAAGAAUAAUAACCAGAAACUUCGCUGUGAUUUUUUAUCACUUUUUCCUCUCUUACUACACUGCAGCCACGGCCCUUGCCAAACACCUGAUCUCUCCUACCUCGGGACCUUUGCACUUCCUGUUUCCUCUUUUUGAAAUGUUUUCUUCUUUCCCAGUAUUCACAUGGUCGGAUCUUCUCACCUGUUAAGAUUUAUCUGAGAGGUUUUUCCUACUACCCUAUCUCAAAUGACCGCUUCAGUCACUAUCAGCACACAAUAGUUUGAUGUCUCCGCAGUAGGUAUUAAAAUCCAUAAUCAUGUGUCUAUUUACCUAUUUAUUGUCUGUUCCCACCGCUGCAGGAACCUCAUCUGAAAAUACCACCAAGCAAUAACCUCCAUGCCCAGCCCGUAGUACGCACGCAAUGUAAAGUUGUUCUUUAAUUAUGAGACCGCUGUAACGGUGGUCCUCACCAGCUCUGUUCACCAUCCCACAUGCACUUCAGAGCCUCUUAAUAGCCUCCGCCGCAUCAUUCCACUGAAACCACCACUGCGGAGUUUCACAUCAACUUGUGAAUAGCCAAUAUAAUCCACAAGUUGCUUUUUAUUGUAUUUGUCCUCUCUAGAAGUAUCUGGCAUUAUCUUGAUAUCCUCUUUUGCUGUAAAGCCUCUGGUUACCUGGGAUACAGUUCUGAUUCUUCUCCUUCCCACCUCCUGGGGCAGUCCUUCUUGUUCUGCUUUUCGGCCUCAGGGUCCACCCCUAAAAUGUUGAAGCAGUGAGGAUUUCUUCCACAGCCCCGUGUCUUCCUGCAUGAUUUCAUUCAUACUCACAGCCCUGAGGGCCACCUUUCUCCAGAUGGUGGCCCUCAGAUGACUGCUGUGUCUCUGCAAAGACACCUGGGACUCCACUUUCUGCCACUGAACUCGUCUUUCCACCCUUUCAGCCCCAAAGACCGCAUCCGACUUUGUCAAUAAGUCCACCGCUGGGUGCGGGUGGUAGUGAUAAUCAUGUUUAUAUGUUACAGACUUUAAACAGAGUAACUCAGCCACUAAACAACCCUGUAUGCUUUUCCAUUCAGUUAUAAAGAGAGAUAAGAUUCUCGUCCAAAACACCAAAACAAGCCAGGUAAGAUUUUUAAAAAGCCCAUUAGAGGGUGCGUGGCUGACUCAGUUGGGAGAGCAUGUGACUCUCGAUCUUGGGGUCAUGAGUUCAAGCCCCAUGUUGGGUGUAGAGAUUACUUAAAUAAAUUUAAACACUAAAAUAUAAUAAUAAUAAAACCCCGUUAGGUAUCUGAGCUCACAGAGAAACCAAUGUGAAAUAAACUUGAGAAGGUGACAAACCACUCCUAAGAGAGAAGCAAUCCUUGGCGGUUCUCAAUCCCAACAGAGACAGAGACAGGGACAGUCUGCUGUGGGCGGGAGCACUUGAACUGUCCACUGGGGAGACUUGAGGUGGGGCAGAAGAGCUCAGAGAAACCUGUUCAAGGGGGUCUCUGCCUUCACAGGGCAACAGUGGCCAAGACACAGGGACCCAGGUGGGGAACUGGAAUGCCAAGAGAAUUCCUCGGAAUCUUGAUCAGUUUACUGAUCUUUUCUAUGUCCAGUCUGAGCUCCUCUCCUAAAAUGUGCACAUCAAGUCAGGUCAGUAGAAAAUACCCAGACCGAAAUACGAAGGGAAGAAGAGUUAACAGCGACGGAAGAAUUGGAGAUCUGUAGCUCGCUGUCAGUCUCAUUGCGAACGCUUUUUACUUGUUACACCUCUUCACCCAAAUACAUGUUUUUAUCUCCACACCAACAUCCAAUUCUCCAGCUCUCCAGACAAUCCUGGGUACUCUUCACUUCCGUUCUGUUCUGACGGGAGCUCCCUGGAGUCACGUCAGCCUCCUCAGGCUGAAGGGCUCCGUCCCAGGGGACUGAUGGCACAUCAGAUGCCAGCCGAGAGCACUGAGAACCCGCACUCAUGUCUGAUGUGGCCUUAAAGUGGAGUUCCCACAGGUGCCCCCACCUUCAGUUUGGGUAAUUCGGCAGAACAGCUCCUAGAGUGCAAGAACACACUUUCCUUACCUUUACUGCUUUGUUGUAAAGGACACAAAUGAACAGCCAGAUGAAGAGGUACAUAGAGCUGGAAGGGCCCCUAGCCUGGGAACUUCUUGUCCCAUGGACCCGGGCUGUGCCACCAACCCAGCUGCUCUUCAAACCCCAUGGUUAAGGGAUUUUUAUGGAGGUCUGAUUACUAGGUGUGACGGAUGGAAUCACUGGCCAUUGGUGAUGAGCUCCAUCUCCAGCCCCUCCCCACUCCCUGUGCCCUGAAGGAGAGGGCUGAACAUUCCAACCCUCUAGUCAAUAGAGGGUUGGUCUUUCUAGCACCCAGCACCUCCCUCCCCUGUCCCAGGGCUGUCUGAGAGUCCACCAGGAGUCACCUUGUUCGAAUGAAAGACAUUCCUUGCACUCUAGAAAUUCCAAGAGAUUUAGGAUCUCUCUGUCAGAACCUGGUGACAGAGACCAAAUAUACAUUUCUUAUACCCCAUUCACAUACACCUCAUUGGCAUCCCAGAAAGAAAGAAAAAGAAUGGGCCAAAGGAAAUGAUUCAAAAGAUAAAGGGCAAUAACUUUCCAAAAUUGAUUAAAGUGAUCAAUCUAUAAAUCCAAAAAUCUCUAAACUGUAACCGGGAUAAAUAUGAAACAAGCCAUAGCCCAGAUAUGCGAUAGUCAAACUGCUCAAAACCAAAGAGCAGAUCUUAAAAGCAACUGGGUGGGGAGAGGGUAUUAAAAAAAAAAACAAA